CUCCCACUGCUUCACUUGACUAGCCUUUAAAAAAGAAAGGCUUGGUUUGAUGAAUGGGUGAGAGAA
rnacentral:precursor_RNA from 1 species